GGGGGAGCAAUCCCCCCUAGAGCGGCGGACUGGUGAGUAACGCGUGGGCGACCUGGCCCGGGGAUGGGGACAGCCGCUGGAAACAGCGGGUAAUACCGAAUACGUCCGUGCAGCCAAGGCUGCAUGGGGAAAGGGGCUACGGCCCCGCCCCGGGAUGGGCCCGCGUCCCAUUAGCUGGUUGGUGUGGUAACGGCGCACCAAGGCGAAGAUGGGUAGCCGGCCUGAGAGGGCGAACGGCCACACUGGGACUGAGAUACGGCCCAGACUCCUACGGGAGGCAGCAGCUAAGAAUAUUCCGCAAUGGGCGAAAGCCUGACGGAGCGACGCCGCGUGGAUGACGAAGGCCGAAAGGUUGUAAAAUCCUUUUGCGGGCGAAGAAGAAGGCGUGGAGGGAAUGCCAUGCCGGUGACGCCGGCCCGCGAAUAAGCCCCGGCUAAUUACGUGCCAGCAGCCGCGGUAACACGUAAGGGGCGAGCGUUGUUCGGAAUUAUUGGGCGUAAAGGGCGCGUAGGCGGCCGCGUAAGUCUGAUGUGAAAACCCCGGGCUCAACCCGGGAACUGCAUUGGAAACUGCGCGGCUUGAGUCACGGAGGGGAAGCCGGAAUUCCUGGUGUAGGGGUGAAAUCUGUAGAUAUCAGGAAGAACACCGAUGGCGAAGGCAGGCUUCCAGCCGAUGACUGACGCUGAGGCGCGAAAGUGCGGGGAGCAAACAGGAUUAGAUACCCUGGUAGUCCGCACUGUAAACGAUGCGCACUAGCGUCGGGGCGAGCGUCCCGGUGCCGAAGCGAACGCGGUAAGUGCGCCGCCUGGGGAGUAUGCCCGCAAGGGUGAAACUCAAGGAAUUGACGG
rnacentral:rRNA from 1 species